AUUGAACGCUGGCGGCAUGCCUUACACAUGCAAGUCGAUCGGUAACAGGUUAAGCUGACGAGUGGCGAACGGGUGAGUAAUGUACCGGAACGUGCCCAGUCGUGGGGGAUAACUACUCGAAAGAGUGGCUAAUACCGCAUACGACCUGAGGGUGAAAGCGGGGGACCGUAAGGCCUCGCGCGAUUGGAGCGGCGGAUAUCAGAUUAGCUAGUUGGUGGGGUAAAAGCCCACCAAGGCGACGAUCUGUAGCUGGUCUGAGAGGACGACUAGCCACACUGGGACUGAGACACGGCCCAGACUCCUACGGGAGGCAGCAGUGGGGAAUUUUGGACAAUGGACGCAAGUCUGAUCCAGCCAUGCCGCGUGCGGGAAGAAGGCCUUCGGGUUGUAAACCGCUUUUGUCAGGGAAGAAACGAGUUUCUCUAAUACAGAGACUUAAUGACGGUACCUGAAGAAUAAGCACCGGCUAACUACGUGCCAGCCGCCGCCGUAACAC
rnacentral:rRNA from 1 species